rnacentral:tRNA from 1 species
GCUUCCGUGGUGGAAUGGUAGACACUCAUGAUUUAAAAUCAUGUGCGAUAUUCGCAUACCGGUUCAAGUCCGGUCGGAAGUA